GUUGCAGCAUCGGGAUUUGCAAAUGAUCAGCGCACCAGAGUUGUUGCCGACCUUAAGGUGGACUUCAGCAAAAGAAGUUACGGAUGAACUUAAGCAAACAGGAAAGAAAAACAUCCUGAACCCAAGGAAGGCACAAUUUACCAACUGGGUGCAGCAGACACCGGGCUGGCUCCUGAACUUCUCUUCUCCAAUUAAGCUCCACAACCUGUUACCAUUUUGCCAAUGGACUCUAUUUACUUAGGUUCUGCUUAACUUGCCAAGUGCUCACUCUGUGGAAUUCCCAGCAAAGAGGAAAGAACAAUUGGGGGAAAUUUUUGUUAACAUCCUUUCUUUUAACUUUCCGUAGCGGAGGGGAAGGCAUCAACGUGGAGCAGAUGUGCUGAGACCAAAUGCUCUCUUCCCCAUGAUUACGGUUGGUUAUACCUGUGGAUAGGCAAGCUAAUUCUGCUGCAAAUGUGCAAGAGAGGGUAGUA